CCUUGAACUGCUAAGCUAUAAAUUCAUAUUUCAAAGACAGAAAUCGCUUAGUUAUUUGUUAACAUCCAGAAUGGUUGCGUUAAAAGUUCUGAUUGUUGGGAUCGUGUUCCUGCUAAACAUUGUUCAGCUUUUGGCCACGUCAGGAGGUGUAUUCGGAGGUACCCCCUGGCAUCUAAACCCGGAAUAUAAAAGAAUGAGACCACGCCAUAAAAAGUUAUAAGCAAAUAACUUGCAAUAGCGCAAUGUGCAAUUGUGAACAGUCGCUUUGCUGCAUAUCUCCUUAGCACUCCCCUUAGCUGAGUAAGGGGUAACGCUAUAGUCGACUAACAACGACAUAAAAUCAGUGCGCUGCUUAUAAACUUUAUUGAAUGUAAUGGACUUAAAUAGAUCAAGAUCAAGACAAUAAAAAAAAGUUUAAGUUCAAAA